rnacentral:lncRNA from 1 species
GUUCUAAAUGAUUCUCCCUUAGAGAAAAGCACUUAAGACGACAAACUCAAAACCCAUCCUGAAGUCGCUGGACGUCUUCUCACUGGAGAGAGAGGCAUCUUCUACUGCUGGGCUGGAGUGAAGUGCAACCUGAAUCCCGGCUCAGCUUGGCAGGAGGCUGGGGGAAGUGGGGACCGUCAGAGCGGCAGCUGCUUGAGGCUGGUUUGUGUUGUUGUUGUUGAUUAUUGAAUGUAUCCAUUCCAAACAAUACUUGAGACUUCCUCCUCUCCCCCCCCCUUUUUUAUCACCUCCUUCCUUUGUUCUUCUGCACCCCCAUACUGCCCUCUUCUCUCCCUUCCUUUCUUUCAGUAAAUAUUUGAUGGAAGUCUGCGGUGUGCCUAUCAGGAUCUAUAUGAAAGUGAUACAACGGAAGCAGAGAAGGGGAGGCGGCAGACCCACUGGGGACCCCCAGCAGCCUGCCUGGAGCUGCCUCCUACUAACAGAAUCCUGGGUUUGUGCCAUUGUGGGCAGCAAACGUGCUCAGGGGAAUGUUUCCCCAGGGAAAAAGCAAAACGGAUCCGAAGCAACCUGGGUAACCCUGUGCCCACUGUCAAUCAUUACUUGGCUGCAGAGCGAGGAUCUAGGACCCAGUUUUGGUCAGUGGAGCCUGAGAGGAAAUGGUUGGGGGUUCUGGGUGUCUCUUUGCUAGGGAGAUGAGAGAUGUUCAAGAGAUAGGGGGAAGUGGGGAAGGUCCGAGCAGCCGCUUCCUCCCUUUCUUCCUUUGGGGCUGUCUAGAGAGGACAUGAUGCUUUAAUUUGCAGAGGUCAUCUAGGAACCGAAGGAGAAAGCUUGGCAAAGUGAAUAAGAGCCAUCUUGAGUCCUGGGAUCUCUGGAACUGCUGAAUUAACAACUCUAGAGCCACCUACCACCAGAUUCCUGUUUGUGGAACAAUGAAUUGUAUUUGUUGUUUGUGUUCCUUUUAGUUGGGCAUUCUAGUAUUUUGUGACCAAAGGCAUCUCAGCUGUUACAAGAGGGAGGAAAUAAACAGUUGUGCUUUUCUGUCAUCUGUGGCCCAGAGCAUCCUGGAAGUCAAGGCAAAAAAGGAAAUCAGAUAAAUUGAAAAGCUCUCAUUCUUAAUGAGGAAGAGCUCCUCAGGGAGUUUCAGCGUUUUGCUCCUAAAUUCCCUGUUUGACACUAAAUUUCUACAUGGGAGUUUAUGAAAAGAAUGCUGAGAAACAUGAUUGCUAGAUCCAGGAUAACUGUUUCACAGGAAAAAGCAGUUUUUACAGCCUCUUUCUUAAGACAAUUUUCUUAGGAUCUAAAUAUAAAGGGAGACUCUAACCAGAGAAGCAGAGAGUGGGGUGAAAGCUGCUCCAUGCCAUCUGCACCCCACCCGGAUGGUCACAUCUACCCCCCGAAGGGAGUUCGGGGUAGUCCUUGUAUCUUUUCUGUAGGA